UACGAAGGUGGCAAGCGUUGUUCGGAUUUACUGGGCGUACAGGGAGCGUAGGCGGUUGGAUAAGCCCUCCGUGAAAUCUCCAGGCUUAACCUGGAAAGUGCAGAGGGGACUGUUCAGCUAGAGGAUGGGAGAGGAGCGCGGAAUUCCCGGUGUAGCGGCGAAAUGCGUAGAGAUCGGGAGGAAGGCCGGUGGCGAAGGCGGCGCUCUGGAACAUUUCUGACGCUGAGGCUCGAAAGCGUGGGGAGCAAACAGG
rnacentral:rRNA from 1 species